rnacentral:rRNA from 1 species
GGGCCCGCACAAGCAGCGGAGCAUGUUGUUUAAUUCGACGCAACGCGAAGAACCUUACCAGGUCUUGACAUCCAAUUAAAGCAUUAGAGAUAGUGUGUCCCUUCGGGGGAAUUGAGACAGGUGGUGCAUGGUUGUCGUCAGCUCGUGUCGUGAGAUGUUGGGUUAAGUCCCGCAACGAGCGCAACCCUUAUGAUCAGUUACUAACGGGUAAAGCCGAGGACUCUGAUGAGACUGCCGGGGACAACUCGGAGGAAGGUGGGGACGACGUCAAAUCAUCAUGCCCCUUAUGACCUGGGCUACAAACGUGCUACAAUGGUGACAACAAAGAGGUGCGAGACCGAGAGGUGGAGCGGAUCUCAAAAAAAGUCAUCUCAGUUCGGAUUGUGGGCUGCAACCCGCCCACAUGAAGUUGGAGUUGCUAGUAAUCGCGAAUCAGAAUGUCG